AGAGUUUGAUCAUGGCUCAGGAUGAACGCUAGCUACGGGCUUAACACAUGCAAGUCGAGGGGAAACGACAUCGAAAGCUUGCUUUUGAUGGGCGUCGACCGGCGCACGGGUGAGUAACGCGUAUCCAACCUGCCCAUCACUUGGGGAUAACCUUGCGAAAGUAAGACUAAUACCCAAUGAUAUCUCUAGAAGACAUCUGAAAAGAGAUUAAAGAUUUUAUCGGUGAUGGAUGGGGAGUGCGUCUGAUUAGCUUGUUGGCGGGGUAACGGCCCACCAAGGCUACGAUCAGUAGGGGUUCUGAGAGGAAGGUCCCCCGACAUUGGAACUGAGACACGGUCCAAACUCCUACGGGAGGCA
rnacentral:rRNA from 1 species